rnacentral:tRNA from 1 species
CGAUCGCGUGCUCCAUGCGGACCAGGGCGCGCGGGUACUCGCCGCGCAGAUACAGGUACCCGUGCCGGGCGCCGGUCGCGUACGCGGCGAUCGUC